ensembl:lncRNA
UACUACUGCUACUACUACUGCUACUACACUACUACUUCUAUUACCAAUACCACUACAACUACUACUACACUACUACUACCACUACUACAACUACCACCACUACUAUUAGUACUACUGCUACUACUACUACCACUACUAUUACUACUACUACUGCUACUACACUACUACUUCUAUUACCAAUACCACCACUACUACUACUGCUACUACCACCACUACAACUACUACUGCUACUACAACCACUACUAUUAGUACUACUGCUACUACUACUACACUACUAUUAGUACUACUGCUACUACUAUUACUAUUACUAAUACCACUACUACUGCUAUUACACUACUACUGCUACUAAUACCACCACCACCACUACUACUACUGCUACUACACUACUACUACUACUACCACCACUACUAUUACUAUCACUACUGCUACUACACUACUACUACUACUACUACUACUACCACCACUACUAUUACUAUCACUACUGCUACUACACUACUACUGCUACUACUACCGCUACUACCAUUACUAUUACUACUACUACCACCACCACUACUCCUACUACUCCUACUACUACUACCACUACUAUUACUACUGCUACCGCUACUACCACUACUACUACUACCACCACUUCUACUCCUACUACUCCUACUACUACUACCACUACUACUGCUACUACUACCACUACUACUGCUACUACUACCACUACUAUUACUACUGCUACCGCUACUACCACUACUACUGCUACUACCACUACUAUUACUACUGCUACUACUACAACUAUUACUACUGCUACUACUACCACUACUACGACUACCACUACUAUUACUACUGCUACUACCACUACUAUUACUACUGCUGCUGCUACUACUACUACUACCACAGCUACUACUACUAUUACUAAUACCUCUACUACUACUACUGCACUACUACUACUUACUAUUACUACUUCUACCACUACUACGUCUAAUAUUAUAAACUACUACUAUUACUACUACUACCACCACUAUUACUACUAUUACUACUUCUACCACUACUACUACUACCUCUAUUACUACUUCUUCUAUACUACUACUACUACUACUACUACUACUACUACUACCAUUACUCAGUUUAUGGAUUUUAAUUUAAAUAAACGACAAAAUGGUACUCGAAGUUUGCCCCGCCCCAAUUAAUCGAAAAAAAAAAAAAAUCAGCCAACUAAUCGAUUAUGAAAAUAAUGGUUAGUUGCAUCCCUACACUUGAGUAAGAAAUCAUUUGCAAUCCUAUGUACAGAAACAUCGCUUUAUACGCACCUUCCCAUUAAAACUGUAUUUUAUUGUACACGUUGAGUUGUUUCCUGAGAAAAAUUGUGCAAAUUGUGCCGAAUACUGUCAAUGCACUCAAACAGGCCAAAAUGUUGCACAGCGCAGUGGCGAUGCAGCUGCACCGAGAUCAAUUUCAACAUUGCUUACUCAGAAAAGUGUGCAAGAGGAACAAAGGUCUUUCACAUCAGAAGCGCAAGAGGCACGAGCAUGUUAAUGUGCGGGCAUGGCUCUUAUAUCUUAUGUGGAACAUGUAAAGUGUACACGUUAAUGUGAGUGCAUGUGUGUAUAUAUAUAUAUAUAUAUAAAUACAUAUAUAUAGAGCAGUGAAGUCAAUAUUUGUCGUGUUGACCCUUUGCUUUAAAAAACAAUGAGUGCCUGAAAAUUGGCCCGGAAACCAGGAAUCUUCCGUCCAUCUGAGACUCGGACAAAGUUGACCAUCUUAUAAGUUAACUUGUCUGGUUGAGCGUUAAAAUAAAAGAGAUGUCAUUAUUUCCCAGCGUUCUCUGGUCAUGUAUGAACGCAUUGGUCCCCGGCAGGGUUCCAGCAAUGCACUUAACGUGUAAGGGUGUGGAUCUUCCCACAUUUCCGCAACGGUUACUUCGGCGACGUUCCGGAUUUUAUGCAUGAAAAGGGCUUUUUGAAACUAAAUCUAAAUUUCAGAUCUUAUCCGAUUCAACCGGGCCACCGCUCUUUCCAUUAUCUCCCGAAUGGUUCGUAGGAACAGCAUGAAUCACGUUCGUUCCGCCUUUCCGCAAAGCCAUAAUAACACCGCUUCCAAACACUUACCCCACACACUGUGUGCACUUGCGGACUGGUAGUAAUGAAAUCGUCUCUAAAGGUCCACUAGUCAUCAGGUGCUAUUUAUGGGCUGUGCUUAUGGAAAAACAUCCCUCAGUUCCGCAGUUCUACGAAAUCCAUUAGUGUAUUUGAUUACAGUGCGGUCUUGUAUAGUCGUAUGGAUGACAUGCCGGUGCCAUUACUUAAAAUGCAAAAAUGGCCACGAUACUGGGAAAUCAAACCCGAGUGAUUGAGAGCUGAUCACGUCCCAGCAUUACAUCACGUUAGAUCAUCUAGACCGCUUUACGUUCCAUCCACUGAUGGAUUGAGGUGGCUGGCCUCGAAAACGGUCAAUAAACUGAUUGAUGGAUUGUGUCGUUUAUUUCGUCUCUCGACGGGAUUUUACCGUAGACCCAUUUCGCUGGGAGAAGCCGUGGACCCGGAGAUGCUUUUUAUUUAUUUGUUAUUUAUUUAUUUAUUUUAAACGGGACGGUUUCAACACUCUAGGGUCAGUUUUCAAAGGUGUUUUGGAGAAGUGUUGUACACAGACACGGUCCUCGAGCAGAGGGAGAUUAUCACAGCAGACGCUUAGCGUCAAGCGCGUAUAGGAUAACGAAGAAGGGCGAAUGAUGGCCGACGCGGAGACCCACACAUACACAUCCGUCUGCUCGCUCUUUGAUCUGUCGUUUUGUUUUCAUGACCAUAUGAGUCAUGGUUUUAUAUAGAAUCCCAGAUCACCACGUCUGAGAGAUACAGCUUGUCCAAGUCGGAGAGCUACGGUGGCUUGUUUUCUGUAGUUGAGAAUGUUCUUUUUUUAAAGAAAAAAAUGUUCUUUUUUUUAAAAAAAAAUAAAUAAAUAAUAGAUAUAAAUAGAUAAAAUUGUGGAAUUGGUUUAUUUGGAGGAAAUGGCGUUUGUGGGUUAACACAGUUCUGUGUCAUCGCUCUCAGGCAUUGUCGUGUGUACUUUAGAGAAGUGCAUGUUUGUGUGCUCUGGCAACCUCGCCAGAUGGUGCUGGGAGUGUGAGGGCUGUGAGGGCACCCACUCCCAGAGGAGAGGUUGGUGUGUGUGUGUGUGUGUGUGUGAAAGGAGAGGAGGGGUUUUAGAAAGGCAUGUAGGCUCAUUUAGGUCAGAGUACAGCAUGUUGUCAAAUCCGGCAUAGGCAGGCUGAUCGUCAGAAGUGUGUGUGUGUGUGUGUGUAUUAUUUUGCUAUGUUUUCUAUACAAAAUGUAUAGGAAUAUCAGACAGUUUUGGUCUUGUGGAAACAUUUAUCACGAGGAAAAACUCACUUUUAUUUGAAAAACUACGGUUACUAAGGUUAAGGUAGGGGUUACAUUUAGUUGUAGCAUAGCAUAAAUAAACCCCAUUAACAAUUCAACCAAUGGAAGGUCCUCGCAAGGGUAGUCAGACGUGUACGUGUGUGUGUUUGCGUGGAUGAAUAUCUCAGAACAGAUUCUGUCAGGCUUUAACGGUUUGCUCCGGUCAACGGCGUUAAGUCACAUCAGAUAACCGGUAAAGGUUCAAGACGUCUGAUUAUUACUUUAGAUCUGCUCUCCUGCCUGCCUGCUCUUUCAUCUGGCAACCACAUCAGCUCAGUGAAGUGCUCCAGAGCUUUCUCCAGCACUCAUUCACGUGGAAGUAGUACACACACACCAUGAUAAUUACCAGUCAUGACCGCUCAGCGUCAUGUGUUUUUCUCCCCAAAGCAUGUCCCUCUGUGUUUACUCAGCCAUGUGUGUGGUUUCUGUAACUCAGCCCCGUGUGUAACGUCUCUCAUCGACACGUCGGCGAGUUUUCACUUCGGUUAAUGUUUUCCUACACUACCCACUACGCCAUCCGACCGCCUGCUGAUCGUGGCGCCACCGGGAACAUCUCCUCAUCUCUGUUUAACGAGAGCGGUUGCAGCGGCGCUUUAGUCCUUUCGUAUGUCCAGGUCUCUCUCGCCUCCGCAUCCAAACAGAACUUCGCGGCCGUCGUCCUGUAGAUCUCCGACUAGCCGGGCGGAUUCUCCGCCGUAACUCGGCGAAGCGACAUCGUAUAACCGCGCUGCAUUCUGGGACUCCGAGUCCAGCGUUUGCUUCGCCGUGUUGGAUUUCUUAUUAAUAUUGUGAGUGGGGAAAAUAUCUCUUUUGUUUUCCCAAAUAUUGAGUAUAUUUAUGCAUUGCCUUUCCAUGACCGAUAUUCUGUAAAUGGUGCAGGGGCCAAAGGUCAUUAGGUAACCUGAUGCAGGACGUGCAUGCACCUGUCCAUCGUGACUCCAUGGAUCGUAAAUAAAUUAUUUUAUCAUUCAGGUUGGCGAGUCUCGUGAACUUUGCUCUAAGGCGUUCAGUGUUUUCGGGAAUUUAUGACAGACUUCAAAUAUUUCCCUUUUUUUUUUUUUCUUUUUUUUUUUCCGGUUGUCUAUUUAAAGUAACAUCCAGUGACACGCAAUCACGACAAAACAAACAACCAAAGUGCAGAACGCAUCAGAGGAAGAACAGGGUAUCCGUUAUUCAUUUUUGCUCGUGUUGUACGCUCGCUAUCCAACCAUUUUUUUGCCUUUAUUUUCGUGGCACUCGUCGGUGGAAAUUAUUAGGAGCAAAAUGUCCGUGUGCAGUGAACACGUCGAGAGUGAAGGUGCUGCAGCUGUGUGUCUGAUCUGAUCACGCGAGCCUCGUUCGCAGGAGGAAGAUCUCCUAAUAUUUCUCGAUUUCGUGAACGUAACUGAAUUUGAAUGCGGCCAUCUAGACUGUCUGCCUCACAAAAUGCCUUGAAGCAUCAUCUGUGUGUGUGUGUGCGCGUGUGUGUGUGCGUGACAUAAACACAUACACGAUGGACUUGACUGUUAUAUGAAUAGAUACAGGUAUAACUUAUGAAUGAGAGAGACAGAGAGUGAGUGAGAGAGAGAUACUGAGAGAGAUAGUGUGAGAGCGAGAGAGUGAGAGAGAUAGUGAGUGUGUGUGUGAGAGAGAUAGUGAGUGUGAGAGAGAUAGUGAGAGAGAUAGUGAGAAGAGAUAGUGAGUGUGAGAGAGAGAUAGUGAGUGUGAGAGAGAUAGUGAGAGAGAUAGUGAGUGUGAGAGAGAGAUAGUGAGAGAGAGAUAGUGGUGUGAGAGAGAUAGUGAGUGUGAGAGAGAGAUAGUGAGUGUGAGAGAUAGUGAGAGAGAUAGUGAGUGUGAGAGAGAUAGUGAGAGAGAUAGUGAGUGUGAGAGAGAUAGUGAGAGAGAUAGUGAGUGUGAGAGAGAGAUAGUGAGAGAGAUAGUGAGUGUGAGAGAGAUAGUGAGAGAGAUAGUGAGUGUGAGAGAGAGAUUGAGUGUGAGAGAGAGAUAGUGAGUGUGAGAGAUAGUGAGAGAGAUAGUGAGUGUGGAGAGAGAUAGUGAGAGAGAUAGAUAGUGUGUGAGAGAGAGAUAGUGUGAGAGAGACAGAGAGAGAGAAUUUCUAUUACGACUGGAAGAUAUAAUGUUGAUAAUAUCGUCACGUCUGUAACACUGAUACUGAGUAACACCUUCAUUGUUCCUCACUAAUUACUAAGGAAUGAAGCACGACAGGGUGUGCUAAUAUAACAAACUAACCGACGACUAUUUUCCUACACCGGCAUGCCACAAAGUGCUGUAGAGUAUUUCAUGUCUCUUGCAUUUCCAAUGAUCUCAAUUAGAAUUUGUAACAGGACCACAACUCCAACCUUACAACUGUUUUCAGCAUCGAUCCGGGUUGCCACUGCCGUUAUAAACACCCCUCCCCUCGCCAUCCUUUCUUUUCUCGUUAUGGUACCGAGAAACUACAAAUCACGACCUUCUCUGUCUUGAGGUCUCUUCCAUGGCGGAAAACAUCGUUUUCACGUGCUGACACUGGAGACUCCUUCCUAAAAUAAACAUCUCCAUAUAGCAAAGAUGACCAUAACAAUAUCACGAAGUACACAUUUUAAUCCGUUUAUUACGAGUCUGAGACGAUGUAAAAGACCCUGUGUAAACAACAGUAAGCCGGUCGGAUUUACGAAUUCAGCACUAGAUUA